rnacentral:rRNA from 1 species
ACCUUUUGUUUUUGCUCCCACUAGAUCCAACCACAAUACAUCAGAGGAUAUAUCUAAGCUUAUCACUAUCCACUUUAUCAAGAAAUCUGAACUUUAAAUAUUUAAAAGUUCAGUUUGGUAAUCAAAAGAUUUUAAUAAUAUUAUAGAAAACAUUCAUAAAAAUAUAAUAAUGAUUAUGUAAGUAGCGGCGAGCGAGUGCAUAAAACACGACCUACAAAAAGAGGCUAUGAGGCCACGUGCCAUUAUGAUAAGACUUACAAAGACAGUACUAUGAAGGAAAGUUUAUAAUCUAAUAAUCCCCUGAUAUAAUAGUUGUAUCCCAACAUACCUUUUGUAUAAUGGGCCUGCAAGAAAAGAUUUAGUUAAUUAACAUUAAUAGAAACAAUUAUAAAAUUAAAUCUUCCCGAAACUAAGUGAUCGAUUCUAGGGCAGCAUAAAGUGCGAACUAUUGACUGUUGCAAAAGUCUUAGAAGACCUUAGAAUAGAGGUUAAAUACUAAUCGAACUUAGAAAUAGCUGGUUUUCUACGAAAUCUUUAUAAGAAGAAGCAGAAUUAUAUGGGUACAAGGUAAAUAUUAAUUUGUAACCAACAGAAUUCUGUUAACAACCUAUUAAUGCUAAGGUUAAUAGUUUAUUGAGAAACAACUCGACGCAAAAGCUAAAGACGUUAAUUAAAUAAGUGCCACACAUUAUAUAGUAUAAACAAGAAAUAAGUGGGCUUGGAAGCAGCCAUCUUAUAAAAACCGCGUAACAGCGACUUUCAAAAACAUCUAUUUUAUAAAUUAAGGCGACUAUACAUACCCUGAUGCUUUGUUAUAGCUAGUAGAACGGACUAUAAAAAUAGUGGAGAUCAUGCGGGCAUGAAUAAUAUUUUAACUUAAAGGUUUAAUAUUUAAACAGUUUUCAAAACCCCUACAAAUAAUAUGCCAACACGCCAUGCAAGAAAUUAGCAUAUAAAAUACCGUACAAUCUAACCACAGUUAGUAAUCAAUGAAUAUAAUUGUAAUUAAGGAACUCGGCAAAACAGAGCUAAAAGCUUAAUAAAAAGAUCGACUGUUUACCAAAAACAUAGCCCCACCAACCUAAUGUGGGGUGUGACCUGCUCAGUGACUAUGAAUAAAAAAUAAUAGUAGUUAAACAGCCGCGGUAACUCUGACCGUGAUAAAGUAGCAUAAUCACUCGUCAUUUAAUUGAUGACUGGAAUGAACGGUUACACGAAUCUUUAACUGUCUCAAUUACAAAAUUUAUGAACUUAAAAUAAUAGUGAAGAUGCUAUUUACUAAUUGUAAGACGAAAAGACCCUAUCGAGCUUUACUAAAUACUUAAACCACGCAAAAAAAUAAUCAUAUUAAAAUGAAUCUUUAAGUAGGUUAGUUUGGUUGGGGCGACCACCUCUAAAAAAGUAUCAGAGGAGAUCUAAAGGUUAAUUAAUAAUAUAAGAAGCCUAACUGUAUAUUCACAGAUUAAUCAGUUACUAUUAGUAGGUUAUAAUGACCCGUUCAGAGUGUCUUAAAUACUUGAACGACAACGAAAAAAGUUACCGUAGGGAUAACAGGGUAAUAUUUCCGUAGAGUUCAUAUCGAUGGAGAUGUUUGCCACCUCGAUGUUGAAUUGUGAUAUCCUCAGGGUGUAGCAGCUCUAAAGGGUUGGUCUGUUCGACCAUUAAAAUCAUACAUGAUUUGAGUUCAUUCCGUCGCAAGACAGGAAGGUUUCUAUCUACAAUUAAGGAUAAUAUGUAAAUUUUAGUACGAAAGGAAUUAAUAUUACUGUUAUAAUAACAAAUAAAACUGGUUUGAACCAAUAUAAAACCAGAUGUGAAAUCCAACAAUUAUAUAUAAUGAAGAUAACCCAAAAGAAAAUACAAUCAGAACUAUGAACUUAUUAUGCGCUGACCGACACCAAUAUACACACAAAUAUUUUACAAGGUAUUUCCAAAAAAAUCAUACACCAAUAUACACACAGCAAAACCAACACAA